CUGAAAGCUGCUGAUUCAGGCUUUCCAAAGGCAGCUAUAAUGCAGAAAAGAAAUCAAUAGUGUACCAGAGAUAUAACCCUGACACUGCAGAUAAAACCUGCCAGAUUUAAUACAGCCAGAGCACUACAGAGUGUUUUAAUGCAUCAUUUAGAAAGGACCUUCCCUCACUUUAAGGAAAAUUACAGCUAUGCUCAACUGCCUGCAUGGUCUGAAAAUUUCACAAGUCAGCUCCAAGACAGCCCAUCACAGAAACAAAAACUGACAAGCUUAUUGAGCAUUUUCAUCCCAAGUUUAUGAGACUUCAGAACA